ensembl:lncRNA
AAAAUAAAACCCAAGCCAACAACUCAGCUUCUCACUAGCCACAGGGCUGGCGGCUGCCAUGGGCUCAGCACGGAUCCCAGACCACUUGCAUCACUGCAGAAAGUUCUACUGGGCAGCACUGGCUGAGCCAUCACUUCUGCCACAGAGCCAAGAACUUGACACAGUCACCCUCAGAAAAGCAAAGUCAGGCAGACUUGACUCCACCUCCUCCCGGGCCGGGGCUUCCUAUUUCUAGGAGCGACAGCAGUUCUCUGCUGCUGGAGAUGGACAGCCUCAAGGUGCCAGUCCAGGAAACAGUCUUUUAUGCAACAUAUUUCCAUGACAAAAGGAAGCAGUCAUGUGGCUGGUGUCAUCCAGACCAUGGGUUCAGGGGUCUUUUUAUAUUUUUUAAAGAGUAAAUGAGAGGCAAUAACUCCUGCUUUCCCUUCCAUUCAGUUCCUUCAGGGUCCUUGAGCUCCAAGGCAGGUAUGGGAACCAUGCUGUUCUCCCUGCGUCCAGCCCUCUGCCCAGCUCCCAGGAUGGGAAGGGAAGAAAAGACAAUGUCACCUUGUCCCUUAGGAAACACUUGUUCAAAGUUAUGUGUCCACAGCAGGGCAGACUGGAGUGCACGCUGGCCAGAUGGAGAGCUGGCCAAGUUCCUUCC